rnacentral:rRNA from 1 species
GACGAUUGCUGGCGGCGUGCUUAACACAUGCAAGUCGAACGGAAAGGCCCUGCUUUUGUGGGGUGCUCGAGUGGCGAACGGGUGAGUAACACGUGAGUAACCUGCCCUUGACUUUGGGAUAACUUCAGGAAACUGGGGCUAAUACCGGAUAGGAGCUCCUGCUGCAUGGUGGGGGUUGGAAAGUUUCGGCGGUUGGGGAUGGACUCGCGGCUUAUCAGCUUGUUGGUGGGGUAGUGGCUUACCAAGGCUUUGACGGGUAGCCGGCCUGAGAGGGUGACCGGCCACAUUGGGACUGAGAUACGGCCCAGACUCCUAAGGGAGGCAGCAGUGAGGAAUAUUGAACAAUGGGCGGAAGCCUGAUGCAGCAACGCCGCGUGCGGGAUGACGGCCUUCGGGUUGUAAACCGCUUUCGCCUGUGACGAAGCGUGAGUGACGGUAAUGGGUAAAGAAGCACCGGCUAACUACGUG